UACGUAGGGGGCUAGCGUUGUCCGGAUUUAUUGGGCGUAAAGAGCGUGUAGGCGGCCUGGUAGGUCUGCUGUGAAAACUCGAGGCUCAACCUCGAGAUGUCGGCGGAAACCAUCUGGCUAGAGUCCGGAAGAGGAGAGUGGAAUUCCUGGUGUAGCGGUGAAAUGCGUAGAUAUCAGGAGGAACACCGGUGGUGUAGACGGCUUUCUGGACCGUAACUGACGCUGAGACACGAAAGCGUGGGGAGCGAACAGG
rnacentral:rRNA from 1 species